ACCAUCCAUUCACUCUGAUUUUGCCGCCGUUGUGCCCUACUUUCACACACUGCUCUCACCGUGCACGCCAUCGACGCCUUCACCAACAUCCAUACACAUCCUCUCACACACAGAGCACUCUUUAAUGGUUACUUGAACCAUCUCGCUUCGCCCAUGCUUCUCUAGCUCUCUAAUCGGUCUCUGUAUCGGUUAUUCCUUCACUCCGCCUCAUCUCUUUAUCACUAACCUUUUUUUUUAGUUAUUUCGAUCUUCCCUCUUUGACAAAUACUUGUCUUGAUUUUGUGAGUUCUUGAGGUUCACAACAAAUAAGUGGUGUACGAGGUAUUUGGAAAGAACCAUUGAUGAUCUAUGCCCUUGGAUGAUCAUUGUUUAGGUUGUAUUGUUCCGAUUUACAGCCUUUGAGCUAUUGUCUUGAUUUACAGUUUUUCAGCUAGUUUAAUAAUCACUUGAGGUGAUAUGUAAGUGUUCCCUUGAGAACAAGGUGACUUCCCUAGAGUAUAUUCAUGUGUUGUUUUAUGCAUUGGAUCAUUUCUGAUCUUGGCGUGUCAUGUUAAUACUCGCCGCCCUCUGUACACCAAAAUACUUGUCAAUAAAUGACACUUGGAGUGUAGGAGUUCCUCACCCCCCACAAUAUAAUUGUUGGUUUAUUCCAUUGCUUUGAUUUGUUAACAUGGUAUCAGAACGAGGUUAACUCCUUUUUUUUUGCUUUUUUAUGUAUUUGCAGGUAUCAUCCUCUUCUUUUGUUUACUUUAUGUGGCUCUUGCAUGAGAAGAAAGGCACUAGUUCCUCUCGACUCAAUAUGGCAGGUUGCUAAUGAUAGCCCUUCGAGUGAGAGGGAGUGUUAAAAUUGGGCCUAGCCAUCACUUCACUCUUGGUCCAGGUAUGAGUUACUGGGCUGAGUCCACUUUCUUCUUUCCUUUUGGAUAAUGUCCACAUAUAUAUAUGUAUUUACCUAGCUGAUUUCACCAGCAUCCAUUCACAAUCAUCCAUUCACCCUGAUUCCCCGCCGUUGUGCCCCACUUUCACACACUGCUCUCACCGUGCAAGCCAUCAACGCCUUCACCAAUAUCCAUACACAUCCUCUCACACACAUAGCACUCUUUAAUGGUUACUUGAACCAUCUCGCUUCCCCCACAUUUCUCUCGCUCUGUAAUCGGUCUCCGUAUUGAUUAUUCCUUCACUCCUCAUAUCUUUAUCACUAACCUUUUUUUUAGUUAUUUCUUUUAAUCUUCCCUCUUUCACAAAUACUUGUCUUGAUUUUGUGAGUUCUUGAGGUUCACAACAGAUAACUGAUGUACGAGGUAUUUCGAAAGCACCAUUGAUGCUUUAUGCCCUUGGAUAAUCAUUGUUUAGGUUGUAUUGUUCUGAUUUACAGCAUUUGAGCUAUUGUCUUGAUUUACAGCUUUUUAGCUAGUUUAAUAAUCACUUGAGGUGAUAUGUAAGUGUUCCCUUGACAACACGGUGACUUUCCUAGAGUUUAUUCAUGUGUUGCUUUAUGCAUUGGAUCCUUUGUGAUCAUGGCGUGUCAUCGUAAUACUCGCCACCCUCUGUACACCAGAAUACUUGUCAAUAAAUGACAC